GUAGGUGGCAAGCGUUGUCCGGAAUUAUUGGGCGUAAAGCGCGCGCAGGCGGUUCUUUAAGUCUGAUGUGAAAGCCCACGGGCUCAACCGUGGAGGGUCAUUGGAAACUGGAGAACUUGAGUACAGAAGAGGAAAGCGGAAUUCCACGUGUAGCGGUGAAAUGCGUAGAGAUGUGGAGGAACACCAGUGGCGAAGGCGGCUUUCUGGUCUGUAACUGACGCUGAGGCGCGAAAGCGUGGGGAGCAAACAGGAUUAGAUACCCUGGUAGUCCACGCCGUAAACGAUGAGUGCUAAGUGUUAGGGGGUUCCCGCCCCUUAGUGCUGCAACUAACGCAUUAAGCACUCCGCCUGGGGAGUACGGCCGCAAAGGCUG
rnacentral:rRNA from 1 species